UACGGAGGAUGCGAGCGUUAUCCGGAUUUAUUGGGUUUAAAGGGUGCGUAGGCGGGAUGCCAAGUCAGCGGUAAAAAUGCGGUGCUCAACGCCGUCGAGCCGUUGAAACUGGCGUUCUUGAGUGGGCGAGAAGUAUGCGGAAUGCGUGGUGCAGCGGUGAAAUGCAUAGAUAUCACGCAGAACUCCGAUUGCGAAGGCAGCAUACCGGCGCCCUACUGACGCUGAGGCACGAAAGCGUGGGUAUCGAACAGG
rnacentral:rRNA from 1 species